AUUGAACGCUGGCGGCAUGCCUUACACAUGCAAGUCGAACGGCAGCACGGGAGCAAUCCUGGUGGCGAGUGGCGAACGGGUGAGUAAAGUAUCGGAACGUGCCCAGUCGUGGGGGAUAACGUAGCGAAAGUUACGCUAAUACCGCAUACGAUCUAUGGAUGAAAGCGGGGGAUCGCAAGACCUCGCGCGAUUGGAGCGGCCGAUAUCAGAUUAGGUAGUUGGUGGGGUAAAGGCUCACCAAGCCGACGAUCUGUAGCUGGUCUGAGAGGACGAACAGCCACACUGGGACUGAGACACGGCCCAGACUCCUACGGGAGGCAGCAGUGGGGAAUUUUGGACAAUGGGCGAAAGCCUGAUCCAGCCAUGCCGCGUGCAGGAUGAAGGCCUUCGGGUUGUAAACUGCUUUUGUACGGAACGAAAAGGUUUGGGCUAAUAAGCUGAGCUCAUGACGGUACCGUAAGAAUAAGCACCGGCUAACUACGUGCCAGCAGCCGCGGUAA
rnacentral:rRNA from 1 species